UUGUGGGUUGUGCUGCUGCAUAAUGUUAGAGGUGUAAUUUUCCCUCCCUGCCACUAGGAGGCGAGUAUGCCUUGAGAUGACUUUCUGUUAGUUAACAUUUCCUGUUGUGAAAGCCAUUACUCACGAGGCAACCGCCAAAUUAGCUGAAAGAUCCUGGAUCUGAAAUCUGUGAAAUACGGCCGUGGGAAGCUGCGUCAGCCUGGCGAGCUAUCUCACCACGAGCUCCGAUUGGUUUUUGACCAGGACCGGAUCAUUUGAGAUCUGAACCCUGUGGGUUCAGUGGCGAGCCAAUCCCAAGAGAGUGACUGUAGACGGACCAGAGUACGGUGUGGCCAGCCGUGGGAUCCAUCUUCAGCGAACCUCAG